UGCAAUGCAACACUGCAAAGAAAUUCAUUUACAAUGCAAAGCAAUAUUGCGUGGCAACACUGCUUUGCCAAAUAAAUGGUUGGCAUUUUACUGCAUUUAUGAACGCGCAAAAGAUUGGUACAUUGCAUCACUAACACUAACAUAUUCGACAACAAAGUUUUUUUAAAUGAAUGUGCAGGAAUAUUGCUGUAUUCUUUUGAAAACAGCCUCAGAAUUGGCUGAUAAUAGAGAAUCAAGCAGCAGUGUUAUCAAAAAUAUAAUAAACGAAAGAAAACGCCGUCGUUUUGCAUUAUUAGCUAGCGAAAAUUCACGGAGAAGAAUUCCAAAAACCAAAAAUUUUUGUAAGGUUAUCGAAAGCAUGGAAGACGAUGUAUUUUAUUCUCAUUUUCGAAUGAAGAAAAGUACAUUUCAGAAGUUGCAGAUUGCGAUUAAGCCCUGGUGGAAUUCAAGUGAAACUGGACGUAUAGCAAAAACGUUGAAAAAAUCUUUACAAAUAACAAUUUGGAAGUUAAGCAAUAAUUGCUCUUUCAGAGAUGUCAGCGACCGGUUUGGUGUGGCAGCUGGCCUCGCAUAUAAGCGGAACAAAAACAAGUAAAUGAAGAAUUUACAAACCUGCGGUAUAAUCCUUUUCCUUUUGUAAUUGGAUGCAUCGACGGAACUCAUAUUCCAAUUUCGAAGCCAAUCAAGGAUGAAAUCAGCUAUCGCAACCGAAAGGGAACGUAUUCAAUCAUUAAAAAAUGAACUUUUUUGCAUGAUAAUAAUUAUUAACUGGAAAUAUUUUUUUCAGGCUAUUGUAGAUAGUCGAAUGAGGUUUAUAGAUGCAUUUAUCGGCUGUCCA